UACGUAGGGUGCAAGCGUUUGUCCGGAAUUAUUGGGCGUAAAGAGCUCGUAGGCGGUUUGUUGCGUCGGCUGUGAAAUCCCGAGGCUCAACCUCGGGUCUGCAGUCGAUACGAGCAAACUAGAGUGUUGCAGGGGAGACUGGAAUUCCUGGUGUAGCGGUGAAAUGCGCAGAUAUCAGGAGGAACACCGGAGGCGAAGGCGGCUUACUGGCCAGACACUGACACUCAGAUCCGAAAGCGUGGGGAUCAAACAGG
rnacentral:rRNA from 1 species